UAGGGAAUCUUCCGCAAUGGACGCAAGUCUGACGGAGCAACGCCGCGUGAGUGAAGAAGGAUUUCGGUUCGUAAAACUCUGUUGUUAGAGAAGAACAGCGCAUAGAGUAACUGUUAUGCGUGUGACGGUAUCUAACCAGAAAGCCACGGCUAACUACGUGCCAGCAGCCGCGGUAAUACGUAGGUGGCAAGCGUUGUCCGGAUUUAUUGGGCGUAAAGCGAGCGCAGGCGGUUAAUUAAGUCUGAUGUGAAAGCCCCCGGCUCAACCGGGGAGGGUCAUGGGAAACUGGUUGACUUGAGUGCAGAAGAGGGGAGUGGAAUUCCAUGUGUAGCGGUGAAAUGCGUAGAUAUAUGGAGGAACACCAGUGGCGAAGGCGACUCUCUGGUCUGUAACUGACGCUGAGGCUCGAAAGCGUGGGUAGCAAACAGG
rnacentral:rRNA from 1 species